AACGCGAAGAACCUUACCUACUCUUGACAUCCACGGAAUUUAGCAGAGAUGCCUUAGUGCCUUCGGGAACCGUGAGACAGGUGCUGCAUGGCUGUCGUCAGCUCGUGUUGUGAAAUGUUGGGUUAAGUCCCGCAACGAGCGCAACCCUUAUCCUUUGUUGCCAGCGAUUCGGUCGGGAACUCAAAGGAGACUGCCGGUGAUAAACCGGAGGAAGGUGGGGAUGACGUCAAGUCAUCAUGGCCCUUACGAGUAGGGCUACACACGUGCUACAAUGGCGCAUACAAAGAGAAGCGACCUCGCGAGAGCAAGCGGACCUCAUAAAGUGCGUCGUAGUCCGGAUCGGAGUCUGCAACUCGACUCCGUGAAGUCGGAAUCGCUAGUAAUCGUGGAUCAGAAUGCCACGGUGAAUACGUUCCCGGGUCUUGUACACACCG
rnacentral:rRNA from 1 species